AUAACCAAAUCGUCCCAAAAAAAGAAACACAAAGCAACAAGCACAUUAAAAAAAAGUAAUAUCAAGCGAAAAGCGAUUAGCGAAACGUCAAAAAAAAUAAAAAUAAAAAUGGAAUCAUCAAAGAAGCUUGUUGCAGUGUUUCUUGUGUGCAUGGUUAUGUUAUCAUCAUCUGUGCUUGUUUCCAAGGCUCAUGAACACGAAAAAAGUAACGCAGAAAUGUUUAAAGAAGCUAUUCUAAAGACUAAUGCUGAAUACACAACUUGCUUCAACAUAUGUGAAAAGACAUGUAUUGCUCAAGGUCUUGGAUACACUCAUUGUGAGAUGAAGUGUGACAGCGGCUGCAACGCCAAGUUGCUAAAAGAGAAACUCGAGAGAUUGAAGAAUUUGAAGCCUUGAAGAUGGACCAACGGAUGCAGAAAUAGAAAAUAUAUAGGGAAAGAAAAAUAAAGCGAUGGUUUUUCAUUUCUACUAAUUAAUUCAUUCAUCAUUUCUUUGCCACUGUAGUCGUAAUUUCAUGCUUUAAUAAAGUCGUUUCUUUCUCUAAUUAUUCUUA